GAAAUCCAUGUGUUGUGUCCCUUUUAUGUGAAUCUUUAUUGUGAUGGCAAUGUACAUUGCACUUGAUACUUACUCUUUUGCCUUUAGUCCAUAUUCAUGGUUUUACCCAUUAUUAAUUUAUCGAUAUUUGUGGUUUUUAACCCGGAAAAACUGCGAUCUUGAAUGUCAUGCCUCUGUUUCUAUUUAUCUCCUAAUUAGUGCAAUUCACAAUUAAAUAGGGUUUUUUUUUUUUCUGGACCACAUAGCUUGCAAUUUUAAAACUGAAUCUGGGUUUGCUUUCUCUAAAAUUAAUUGUUUUGAUUGUGCAUUCAAUUUAUUGUUUUGUUGUUGUUAGUUGCUUCUAGCUUUAUAUUGUGCAGUUUGGUUGGCUGCUAGCUUUCUGGUCUUAAUUAGAACUGUUAUUACCAGUUGUUGUUUGUUAGUUUGUUAGAUUAUUACAAUUUGGUUGGGUGCCUUUUUGUUUGGUUCGUAUUUAGAGCUUGGCUUUUCUCAGUUUGUGGGGUUUAAGCAUUUGACUCAAACUAAGCUUAUUUAUGAGGACAUCAUUCUAUUUAUGAUCUUCAGCGGUUUAUAGUUUUUAUUUUGAUUUUAGUUAAGGAAGAAGGGGAAAAAGCAAAGAAAAGAGACAUUUUUAUUGGCUUUGUUUUAAAUCAUUUAUGGGUGAAGUCUCCACCGUUAACAGAGUUUGUGAUUUCUUCUUUUCUUCUUCAUCUUUUUCUCUUUUUUUUAUAAAAAAAUAUGUUUUAAAAGAAUUAUUGUAGAUUUAUUUAUAAUUGGCUGUUCCAAUAUUGAUUGAUCUUUUUCUUGUAUCAGGGGGUGGUUGUUGCUUACUCAAUUUAAUUCAAGAUGGGAACCUCAAAUUUACACUUGGAUGAUUGGCAUAUGUAUUUUAUUGACCAAAUGAAACUUUACUAUAUUCACCCAGCUCAGAAUCUCUUGCAAUUCUAAAAUGAUUCUGGCUGGAAUGGCUGAAAAUGGUACUUCAUUUGUUAAAGUACAGAAGAACUUGCAGGGUUUUAUGACUGUUCUAAAAUUUGCAGCUUGUGAAUUGCUUCUGAAUUUUUUGCUGCUUCUUGAUGCUAUAUUCUCAUAUCUGCUGACGAAAUUUGCACGCCACUGCAAGCUGCAAAUACCUUGCAUUUUGUGUUCCAGGCUUGAUCAUUUAUUGGGCAAUGAAAAACCAGGCUUUUAUCGCAAUCUACUGUGCAGCAACCAUAGAUCAGAAAUAUCAUCCUUGUUUUCAUGUUGUAUUCAUGGCAAGCUCGCAGAUGGCCGUGGCAUGUGUGAGGAAUGUCUCUUGUCAUUUGCCAUGAAAACCAAAUCAAACCCAGAAAUGCACAGGCUACUGGUGGGUAAAUUUGGGUACGAUCUUAGCGCUUAUGGUUCCCAAAGUUCAUUGCCGAACAGGGAAAUUGUUUCUGGUUCUAUGGGUGUGCGGUUGUGCUCAUGUUGCAAUAAGCCUUGGAGAUCAAGACCAAAUGUUGACAAACUACUUCUGCUAAAAUCACUGAGGAGUGAGAAGACAAUGCCUACUAUUCCUUUGUCACGUUGUUUGACUCACCACGAGGGCUUAAAGAAAAUGAGGGAGAGAUUUUCUGGGUCAGCAACACCCUGCAGUCUUAGGAAAACUGUUUUUGACCCCUUGUCUCAUGUAGGAUACAUGAAGCUAAAAUUGGCUUCUGAUUCUGAGUCAGAAUUCCCUUUCUAUUCUGAUGAUGAGGGUAGUAGUAUUGUUCCUGAAAUAAAAGAGCCCAAGGAAGAAUCUAAAUUUCAGCAUGCUAGAGAAAUUUUACCUAAAACACCGACAAAUUGUGUGGCCCCAGAUAAGCUGAUGUAUAAUUCCUAUAAACCACAGAUGCAGCCUGAUGUCAGAAAGCCCCAGGAUGUGAAAUGUUUUCAGUCUGAUUCUGACAUAGAUCGUGGUCUUGGUGAGCUUAACUGGCAGCAAGCUGAUCAGAAAACCUAUCCUUCUAUACCUGAGCUUAUUUCACUUGAUGAUUUUCCUCCUUUGUCCAAUGGGAUGGAAGCCUCUGCAGCAGUGUCAACAGAGAAGUGUGAGCUCAAGUUUCCUCUAUCAGAAAAAUCGAAUCCUUCUGCACUAUCUGAGCUCAUGUCUCUUGUUGAUUCUCCCUCAUCAUUCAAUGUUGUUGAAGGUCCUUUUGAAGCACUACAAUGGAAGUGUGAGUCUCCAUCUCUUUCUCUACAUGCCUGUUUUCUGUGCGUGCGUGGACAUCUAUUUGAUAUUUAACUUAUAUCUCCAAUGUGGAAUUGUUUCUAGCAGCAGUUGGCACUGGAAAAGACAACAUUAGAAAUAUUUCCAUAAACAAGCAUGGGGAAAUUUUGAAGUCAGUAGCUGCAACAGCAGGAAGAAAUGUUAAAAAUGAUCAGGUUGUUAAUGAAGUGCCUUACAUAAAUCCAACUUACAUGAAUCAGGGUUAUGUGUGCAAGUUCAUAGUAAGCAGUAAGGAAGAAGAAGCAUCUGGUUUUGUGGAAAAAGAACCCACUCUGAAAGAACCUGAAAGAGUUAAUGAAGACAAAAGGUUGUUGCCAAUAGAAAAUACUUCUGCUCAAGGGCUUGGUUUAUCUUCAGACAAGACAAUACCUGGCACUCAGGGUCACAAGGUUGAAUUGCAUAUAAAUGAUGCUUCCAGCUCUGAUGUAGUUUGGAUGCUUCAGGACAAUGUCCCAAUAGGGAGAACUGAAUCUUCUGGUCUUGAAUCUCUUGAUGGAAGCCUUGUCAGUGAGAUUGAAGGUGAAAAUAUUGUUGAUCGAUUAAAGCGACAAGUUGAGUUUGAUAGAAGGUGCAUAAAUGCUUUGUAUAAGGAAUUAGAUGAAGAAAGAAAUGCUGCUGCAAUUGCAGCAAAUCAGGCAAUGGCCAUGAUCACAAGGUUGCAGGAAGAAAAGGCAUCACUCCAUAUGGAGGCCUUGCAUUACUUGAGAAUGAUGGAAGAGCAAGCAGAGUAUGACGUAGAAGCACUAGAAAAGGCUAAUAAUCUCUUGGCCGAAAAGGAGAAAGACAUUCAAGAUUUGGAAGCAGAUUUAGAGUUUUUCAGGUUAAAUUUCCCAGAUGAGCCAGUGGAGACCAUAGCAGAGGGAACCUGUGGAAUGAAGGGGGAAAAUCCAAAUUCAGAAAAUACUAGCAUAAGCUUUGCAAAAUAUGAUGUCAAUAUUCCUCCUAGCUCAAUCUUUAUGGAGGUGUCAAAUGACCAGGAAAAUUCUAUUGAUGUGAGGCCUUUGUGGUCAGAAUUUGAAGAUGAGAAGUUAUUCCUUUCAAAAUGUUUGAAGGAUUUGGGGAGGAAAUUUUGUCAAUUCUCUCAGCAGGAGGCUUUGACGUACAUUUCUGAUGGUCACUCUGAAGAAACAGUAGAGAGAGGAGUUAACAAGGGAGAGUCUCUUGAAAAGCAGGAGACUCAAAUAAAUGGUGAGACGAAAGAGAAUAGUUCAUCACUGCAAAAGGAUAUAGCUGUGUCUAAUGGAAGCCUUCCUGCCCAUGAAAAGUCCAAUGCUAAAAAUGAUGAAGAUCAAAUUGCUGGGAAUGAAAGAAAUCAUCCUGUUUCCAGUGGACAAAAAUUCUCCAAGCAGUGUAAAAAAAUUGAUUUGUUCACUCUUGAAAAUGAAAUCUCAGACCUCAAUGAAAGGCUGGAAGCACUUGAGAGUGAUUGGAACUUCCUUGUGCAUACUUUUAACUCUCUUCAAACUGGAAAAGAGGGACUGAAUUAUGUCAAAGAAAUAGCUCAGGAGCUACAAGAACUGCGAAAAACUAUGACAAGGAACAGGCGCCAAUUUAUUCCUUGAGAAUACAUCCGUUAUUGUGAGGUUAGCUUAUUGACUAUGAAAAUUAAUUGGUCUGACAUCUGCACUUGCAGAAAUCAAACAUUUCAUAUGUGCAUUUCGCUGUUGUAAUGUCCUGUCAUUUCCACUUGAACAUAAUUCCACAGAACAGCCAGUCUCGGGGUGAAAAGCGAAUUUGUGUGAGAGUGUGAGAAAGAGCUAGCUUUCUUAAUAUCUUUUGUCCAUUUAGCCUCAUUAGUCUUCAAGGAAGUCAGCUCAAGAUCCUUAGGAAGAUCAAGUUAACUGAUAAGAAAAGCUAUCAAUAAUGACACCAUUAUUUGGUAUGGAAAUUGAACAGCAAGUCCUUUAACAUUAUAUAUAUUCUGCAGAACACUCACAAACAUCAUGCAUCCUUCUAGCAAUCUACAAUAUUGAAAUUGUCAAUUGUCUUGAUCAGCAAGACAGAAAAGGGUGCUAAAGUAAUGGUUUCCACAUCAUUAAUAUGGUUUUUGGUGAAUAGCUUUUGUUGAUUGUUGUGUCUGUGCUAAAGCAAUGGUUUCCUGAGUCAUGAAUGUGAAUAGCUUCCAGGUUAAACAGUGCUAACGCCUGAAUUUGUAGGAUGUGAUUUAAGUAGGGUUGGUAAUUGUAAAAGGGAAUGGUGAAUAUGGCUGGAAAACAAUCUUGAGGAACUUCUUUUAUAUCCUGGAUUAGUAAUUUUUUUUCCUUUUCCUUUUUGUAAUUGAGCUAUAGCGAGUUCUUAGCUUUUUAGCCUAUAUUAUUGUAGCACAUUCGUUAAUACCAGUUGAAAGCCCACAACGAAUAAAAUGUAGGGAG
rnacentral:misc_RNA from 1 species